CACAGCAAGAGACAGAGACAGAGAAGGAAAGAACUAGGGGCUUGAAGAGGAAAAGACUAGACAGGGAAACAGAUGUAGGGAAGGAAAGAAAUAAGGGAAAGAGAGAGAGAGAGUACGGGAGCCUGGGGAAGACAGAGGGGAGAGAAAUAGAAAUAGACGGACGGUCGCACAACAAGAAUUGCGGUGGGUUGACUGGGACCCUCCCUCCCCCCCACCUCCAACUGCAGCGCGGACCCCGGGGAGGGGAGCGCGGUGGUGGGCGUCGCAGGGGCGGACCCGGCUACCCCUCCGUCGCCACCUCCCACCGCGGGGACCCUUCCGGCCCGGGCGGCUGCGGGAGACCGGGGAUGGCGGAUUCGUGCCAGAACCUCACGUACGUGCGGGACUCGGUGGGCCCGGCCACCAGCGCCCUGAUGUUCGUGGCGGGCGUGGUGGGCAACGGGCUGGCGCUGGGCAUCUUGGGGGCGCGGCGACGGUCACGCCCCUCGGCCUUCGCGGUGCUGGUCACCGGGCUGGCGGUCACCGACCUGCUGGGCACGUGCUUCCUGAGUCCAGCGGUGUUCGCGGCCUACGCCCGCAACAGCUCGCUGCUGGGCCUGGCCCGGGGCCGCCCGGCGCUGUGCGAUGCCUUCGCCUUCGCCAUGACCUUCUUCGGCCUGGCCUCCACGCUCAUCCUCUUCGCCAUGGCCGUGGAGCGCUGCCUGGCGCUCAGUCACCCCUACCUCUACGCCCAGCUGGACGGGCCGCGCCGCGCCCGCCUGGCGCUGCCUGCCAUCUACGCCUUCUGCACCGUCUUCUGCUCGCUGCCCCUGCUGGGCCUGGGCCAACACCAGCAGUACUGCCCGGGCAGCUGGUGCUUCAUCCGUAUGCGCUCGGCCGAGCUGGGCGGCUGCGCAUUCUCACUGGCCUACGCGAGCCUCGUGGCCCUGCUGGUGGCCGCCAUCAUCCUCUGCAACGGCUCGGUCACCUUCAGCCUCUGCCGCAUGUACCGCCAGCAGAGGCGCCACCACGGCUCGCUGGUCCCCGGCCCCCGGGCGGGCGAAGAUGAGGUUGACCACCUGAUUCUGCUGGGCCUCAUGACGGGCAUCAUGGCCGUGUGCUCCCUGCCUCUCACGAUCCGCGGCUUCACCCAGGCCAUCGCCCCGGACAGCAGUGAGAUGGGGGACCUCCUCGCUUUCCGUUUCAAUGCCUUCAACCCCAUCCUGGACCCCUGGGUCUUCAUCCUUUUCCGCAAGGCCGUCUUCCAGCGGCUCAAGCUCUGGUUCUGUUGCUUGCGCCCGAGGCCUGGCCAGGGCAACUUGCAGACGUCCCUCUCCCAGCCGGCCUCGGGGAGGAAGGGCUCAAGGGCCCCCACCGCUCUCGGGGGGAAGGAAGGGAGCUGGGUGCAUUUGUCGGCCUGGGGCGAGGGGCAGGGGGCACCCUUGCCUGUCCCACAGCCAUCCAGCAGCACCGUGGGAACACCGUCCAAAGUGGGGUCCGAGACAGCCUGCUCCCUCUGCUGACAUCUAUCUGCCCCGUGAUCUCCUGCCCUGUCUUCCGGGAGCAGGAGCCAGAAAUUCAGGGACAUGACCGAUGGCUGCGGGUGGACAAGCCCAGAGAUGGAUCCUGGAGCCCAGCCGGCCAGAAUGUUGACCCCCUGGAUUCAGGGGGUGAUCAGCUGCUAUUCCUCCUCCUUCAGGGUGGCCACGAUGGGCUGUGGGAGGAGGGAGAGAGGGAGAGGAAACAAUUAUCCUGGAGCAUAAAAAGAGCAGUUCUCUCAAAAUAUCCGGUGGCCUGGGUGGCCUGGUCUGGCCCUCGCUUUGCCCAUCCAUCUCACUGUCUAAAUAUUUAGAAGGCAGAAGAGUUCCCAGCAGCUUCUGUGCACUCAGGUCUCAUCUGGUUAGGCUUCUGGCUCUGAUCCUCAUUCAUUCAGGGUGCCCUGGAUACCCACCCCAAACCCCCGGCAGACAGCCCUGCCCUCUCCCAGUCCACUCCAAGAGCCACCCUCUCUCUGCCUCAUGGGAGCCCAGGAUUCUCCGACAAGCUCCCUGCUUCCCUUUACUUCUGAUUCCCCAUCAGACUUGGGAGGCCUGGUCCCCGCAGGGGAGGUGAAGAAGGGGAGACUGUUGCAUUGUGGGUGACACCACUGGACAGGUGCCUGGAAACUGCAUGGCUUGAGCCUCACUUCACCGCCUGUGUCCUGGGAACUGCCACAAAAAUGUCAUUCAUUCAUUCAUUCAUUCAUUCAACAAAUAGUGGGCGCUGACUCUACCAGGUGCUGGGGACACAGAGCAGUCUCGGCCCCACCCUGGACUCCUCUGGGGUGAUUUCCAGCCUUCAAUUCCCCUUCUGAUUGCUGGGGUGAUGUCCAGCCAUCCACCCCUCCCCCCUUCUCGUUGCCAUCCCCUGCCCUCAGGUACAGAAUUCAAGGGUUUUCCAGGAGUGAACAUGAAAGGAAGUGGUGCUUCUGGUGGUGGGAGGAGGUGAAUGGGAAAGCCCCCAGACUCACCCCCAGCCCUGGGUUCCCCUUUCUCACUUGGCUUCAGGGUUAAAACAAUAAAUCUGCCCCUGAGGAGGGCUGGAGGAGUAGAUGAGGCAUGAGCUUCCUAUAAAGACAAUAGCGGUGGCUAAAGUGAGUCCUCCGCCUUGUGAAUUGCACCCUCCCGCUCCAGGCUGCUAUUAUUACAGCCCUUCUACACAGGCUGGAAUCAAGGUCCGGAGAGGGCCAUCACCAGCCCCAGGAGAAAGCUCAGCCUGCAGGUGGAGCUGGGUUUGUGAGGGUUCCAAGGUUGUUUUUUUUUUGGCCGUGACUCGCUGCUUGCGGGAUCUUAGUUCCCUGACCAGCCAUGGAAACCGUGCCCCCUGCAGUGGAAGCCCAGAGUCCUAACCACUGGACCACCAGGGAAGUCCCUGGUCUAUCUUUUUAUCUCCUUAGCUCAGAUCACUGUUGGGCUGAUGAGUUUGCUUUGGUUUCCUUUUGCUAGAAUGGUGAUCAUAAUCUAAUACUUAGCUUACAAGGCUGUGCUGAGGAUUAAAUGAUUACCCCGAAAAGCAAUUUAGCACAGGGCCUGGAGUAAAGCCCACAAUACGUGUUACUGUUACUGCCAUUGUUGUUGUUGUGGCUAUUGUAGUGGUCUUUGGCAUCUGGGCAAAUGCGGUUUGAAAACACUUUUCUCCAUUGUUUUGACUUCUUCCCACCAGACAUUAUGUUUCAUUUGAAGAGGUGUCUGCGAGAGUUAAAAAUAGGUCAAACGACUGCUUAACGGGUAUGGGGUUUCCUUUUGGGGUGAUGAAAAUGUCCUGGAACUAGAUAGCGACGGUGGUUGUACAACAUCGUGAAUGUACUAAAUGUCACUGAAUUGUACUUUUUAAGAUGGUUAAAAUGGUACAUUUUGUGUUAUGGGUAUUUUACCACAAUAA